rnacentral:rRNA from 1 species
CCUGACGCAGCAACGCCGCGUGGGGGGAUGAAGGCUCUCGGGUUGUAAACCCCUUUCAGCAGGGACGAAAUUGACGGUACCUGCAGAAGAAGCCCCGGCUAACUACGUGCCAGCAGCCGCGGUAACACGUAGGGGGCAAGCGUUGUCCGGAUUUAUUGGGCGUAAAGAGCUCGUAGGUGGCUAAGUAAGUCGGGUGUCAAAUCCCCAGGCUCAACCUGGGUCCCCACUCGAUACUGCUUUGGCUAGAGUCCGGUAGGGGAGCGUGGAAUUCCUGGUGUAGCGGUGAAAUGCGCAGAUAUCAGGAGGAACACCAGCGGCGUAGGCGGCGCUCUGAGCCGGUACUGACACUGAGGAGCGAAAGCGUGGGUAGCAAACAGGAUUAGAUACCCUGGUAGUCCACGCCGUAAACGUUGGGCACUAGGUGUGGGGUCUAUUCAACGGACUCCGUGCCGUCGCUAACGCAUUAAGUGCCCCGCCUGGGGAGUACGGCCGCAAGGCUAAAACUCAAAGGAAUUGACGGGG